GAUGAACGCUGGCGGCGUGCCUAAUACAUGCAAGUCGAGCGAACAGAUGCGGAGCUUGCUCCUCUGACGUUAGCGGAGGACGGGUGAGUAACACGUGGAUAACCUCCCUAUCAGUCUGGGAUAACUUCGGGAAACCGGCGCUAAUACCGGAUAAUCUAUUGAACCGCAUGGUUCGAUAGUGAAAGUCGGUUUUGCUGUCUCUUAUCGAUGGAUCUGCGCCGCAUUAGGUAGUUGGUGAGGUAACGGCUUACCAAGGCAACGAUGCGUAGCCGACGUGAGAGGGGGAUCGGCGGCACGGGAGCGGGGACGCGGUCCAGAGUCCUGCGGGAGGCAGCAGUAGGGAAUGUGCCGCAGUGGGCGAAAGCCUGACGGAGCAACGCGACGUGAGUGAUGAAGGUCUUCGGAUCGUAAAACUCGGUUAUGAGGGAAGAACAAAUGUGUAAGUAACUAUGCACGUCGUGACGGUACCUAGUCAGAAAGCCACGGCUAACUACGUG
rnacentral:rRNA from 1 species